GUCUGGGUGGCUCAGUCGGUUGAGCAUCCGACUUCGGCUCAGGUCAUGAUCUCGUUGGUCCGUGGGUUCGAGCCCUGCGUCGGACU
rnacentral:tRNA from 1 species